GCAGGCAGGAGAGAGUGGUGUAUAAACAAAAAUUAGGGUUUGGGGAGGGGAUGGGGCAUGCUGGCAUCCACUCUGCCUGCUCAUUUUGAAGUAUACCUGUGUGAUAAAAUUUGUCACUUGGGUGAGAUUCUGCCUUGAUGUCACCAGGCCUGAUGUCCAUAUACAGGAGAGGUGAGCCCUUCAGAGGUACAGGUUAGAGAAGAUAGUUAGCAGUCACAUCCAGAGUAUGUGUGGGUUUUUUUGGAAGGUGUCAACAUUUGUUUUUAUGAUCCAAGUUUAAGGUUCCCUUGAACUCUGCACUGCCCAGAGUCGCCCAACCAGGCAUGGGAAUGUUUAGCACUAGAUGAGGAAUUCUCUCAUUGUGUGCAUUUUUUUGUAUGGAAGAGAUUGCUUUCUGUGCAGUUUUAUUAGAAUCUGAAAUGCCUGUCAGAGGCAUAGAGUUGCCAGCAUUAAGGUUUUAAACAGUUGAGCUUUAGAUUAAGUGACAGAUCUUUGUUAGAGUAGGUACCAGCAUGGAACCCAAAUGACCUCUUGGAAGGCAUCGUUCAGAAAUGCAGCUGUUCUCUUAACCCUUUGACUACCUCAUUUUAUUUUUAUGCAAUAUUCAGUUGAGGUAGUACCUAUUUUGGCUUAACUUGAAAUCUCGGAAUAUUUGCUUAUGGCAAUAAUUACACUGCUUACAUAAUUUGGCAGUAUCAAAUUAGAUCUGUAUAAACCAAAAUGGGUGCUAUUUUUAACACUGUUUGCAUGUAAUUACAAUAAUGGUUUUAUGAGUUCUUUAGAAUAUACCACACAUCGUUGUUCCCAGUGGGUAAAAAUACUUUACAUUAACUGAAGUGGUGGAAGUGAGAGGAUUACAGAUGUGGUUUGUCGUAAAGCUUUAUUUGUAAAAUAAAUUCUGACAAGCGUUGUGUAAUGUCCCACUCCAAAUCCCCACCCCCCGUAAACUCAGUUUUCUAGGGUUUUGGUUUCUAGAUAACAUUUUAUGGUUAUGUUUUGUCUCCAUCCCAACCACUCCAUUGUGCCUGCUCCUACUUUUUCUUAGCUUUUCGUCAAGAUUGUGGAGUUAGGGCGUCAUGUAACUAAUCUGGUAUAGAUGGAGGUGUCUUUGGCCGUAAAAUGCAAAGAUAUCUAAAGAUAGUUUUUAUGUAAUUAUUUCCAACAGUUUUGCCAAUAUUUAAAAUAAAACCAUAAACCAGUAAUUUUGAGCUUGAGGUGGAGAACAAGCAUGGCAUUCAUAAACUAAGCUGGAGUUCACACUUGCUGUAUACCAGUGGUUCUCAGCCCAAACACGUUACAGGAGUGCCACAAGGUGACCGGCAAUAAUUAUGAAAUAGCAACAAAAUACUCAAACUUUACAGCAGGGAUCUAAAACUUGAGGCCUCAGGGAUCUUUUUGAAUUCAGCCUGCUUCAUCAAUAUUCUAAAUGUUCUAUACUGCCAGCAAUAACUGUUUUCUCAAAGGCCCCCUUUUAUGUCCGUCAUAUAUAGAUUGUAUCUGUGCUGUAUAAUUUAUCUGUGUUACACUUGCACCUGGCAGUAAAAUUUGUCUCCAUUAUCCACAACUCCCAAUAGAGAUUGGAUGGACUCCACACAUACUGACAGCAGUUUGGGGUUAGUGGUCUCGUAUAUUUGUGUUUUAGUGUGAUGGCAAACAUUUGAGUUUUAUGACGGAAUUGUUGGGUCUACUUUACUGCUUGUACUGUGGUAAUUUUUUAAAGCAGCAUAGGCUUCAAGUCUGGCUACACUUUUGUGACUUUUCUGAGCACUGUUAUAGCAUUACAUGCUUUUUUUUCUGUCAGUUUUAUGUAAAUAGAAAACAUAUUUCCAUUUGUGUUAAAAUAUGGCUGUGGCCAGUUGGAAAUGACUAAAUGCUGAAUUCAGAGGAUAAUGAUAUAACUUCUGUAUUUAUGAAAGUCUGUAGUGUCAAAUUCAUAGUAUUAGGUUUAAACUGAUUGAUACAAGUAUUCUUUCUCAGAAAUACUUAAUCCAUGUUGUUCAUUUUAAGCUGAAGCUGAAUUAGUCAUAAGCAACUUUUUUCUGUGGUGUCAAAUUGUUUUGGUAAUGGUCAUUUAUCCAAAAAGCCUACUUGUUUUGUUAUACUAGCUAAGCACCACUGUAAUGGCAGUUUUUUUUUUUUAAAUGUUCUAUCUUCUGCCCUGUGUGUGUUUUUAGCAUGUGUUUGUAUGUCUUUUCACCCGCACAUUCCCGUAAAGCCUGCUUCUCACACUCUACUUUCAAAAUGCCUUUCCUGCCUUCUGUCCAGUUUUAUUAUUUCCACCUUUGGAAGCGCCUCUUUCAGCAUGACCCAUGCGCCUUUACCUUUACUCCUCCUCCUCAUCCUUCUCAAGCUCAAACUUCCUCUUUUGUUACAACAUUGCUCAGAGAGACUGGACAAAAGUUAUUAUUAUUAUUAUAUAGUAGAUUAGGGAAUUCAAGCACUAGUUUUUAAAAACUUUAGUAAAAGCAAGCAGUUUAAUUGGCCUGUUUUAUAUUGUUUAAAAAAAAUGCAGGCAGUGUAAUGGCAUUGGUAGCAAGCAUGCUUUUGUUAAUUUUAAAUUUCAAGGAAGUGCAAAAGACUAGCAAAAGUACAAAAUGGUAAUUAUGGCUUUUGUAGUGGGGCUUCACAUCCUCGUGGUACAUUGGGAAUCCAUGGAGGAAAAGAUGUUAAACUGCUGCCAUAUAUUGUGGUUGUAUAACUGAGUGUGGGGAGUCCAUCUAAUAUGCAAGUGUAUGCCUUGGACACAGUUUUUAAAUUUCUGCUAGUGUCUGAAAGCUGUCCUGACCUGUUUGAUCAAGGUAUAUAAAUUUUGACAUCCUUGGGUAUGCCUUAGCAUAGCUCCCUUUGUUUAGGACAAAAAUACAAUACAAUACAAUAGUUUAUUUUUGUAUAGCCCAAAAUCACACAGGAAGUGCCGCAAUGGGCUUUAACAGGCCCUGCCUCUUGACAGCCCCUCAGCCUUGACUCUCUAAGAAGACAAGGAAAAACUCCCAAAAAAACCUAGUAGGGAAAAAUGGAAGAAACCUUGGGAAAGGCAGUUCAAAGAGAGACCCCUUUCCAGGUAGAUAGGGCGUGCAGUGGGUGUCAAAAGAAGGGGGUCAAUACAGUACAGUACACAGAACAGAACAAUUUCUCAAUAUAGUAAGAAAUAAAAAAUAUAAAUUUUAGAAGUACAGAGCAGAAUUUAACAGUAGAUGAUAUAUCCCAUAAUAAGAUUUGGAUUUGUGUAGAGUCCUGGAGACCUCAUCCUUCAAGCUGCCUCCCCCAUUUGGUCAUUCCACAGCUGAAACAGUGCUGGGCCAGCCAAUCCGAUGAAAGGACCCCUCUCUCCCACGAUUCCUGCAAUCCUCCAUCUGGGAUGACUUUUCCUUAGGCAGGCAAAACAACUUGGCAGGUGGGCCAUGGCACCAAGUGCCACAUUUGAGUACCAAGAAGAAAAACAGAAUAAGUGAGGGUUAGUAUAUAAUUAUAACUGUCAUGUUACUUAUGUUUAAGUGCUAAUGACUAACAACAGAGAAGCAGUCUGUACAGUUAAUCAGCAGCUCUAGUCAGGAUAUGCUAAACUGAAGUAGUGAGUCUUCAGCCGGGAUUUAAAAGCUGAGACCGAAGGGGCAUCUCUUAUAGUAGCAGGCAGACCAUUCCACAGUUUAGGGGCCCUGUACCUAAAAGCUCGACCUCCCACUGUUAUUUUAUUAAUCCUUGAAAUCAUAAGCAGACCGGCAUCUUGAGAUCUUAAUGUGCGCUCUGGUUUGUAAGUCAUGAUAAGUUCAGACAAGUAAGCUGGACCUCGACCAUUUAAUGCUUUAUAUGUUAAAAGAAGGAUUUUGAAAUCUGCCCUAAACUUAAGCGGGAGCCAGUGUAAGGAUUUAAGAACUGGAGUUAUGUGUUCGUAUUUUCUUGUUCUUGUAAUAAUUCUCGCAGCCGCAUUUUGGAUUAACUGGAGGCUGUAUAAAGAACAGUUUGAACAUCCAGUGAACACCGCAUUGCAGUAGUCAAUCCUACUAGAGAUAAAUGCAUGAAUUAGUUUCUCAGAAUCCUGUUUAUUUAAAAAGCGCCUUAAUUUCCUAACAUUUUUAAGAUGGAAGAAACAUGUUUUGGACAACUUUGUAAUAUGCGCUUUAAAUGACAUGCUAGAGUCAAAGAUAACUCCUAGAUUGCGGGCUGAUUCAGUAAAAUUGACUGGGAUUCCCACUGAGUUAAAUGAUGACAAAAUAUUGUUAACCAAAAAAAGGUUAACUUAACUCUUUUAGGGCUAAUUUUUUUUUUUUUUUCCUCCUAGGGCUGAAUAUUUUUCCAAAAACUAACAUUUUUUAAAAAAACACAAAGCAAUUGUUUAACAUAUCAAAUCAACAAAAAAUAUUUACUUUUGACAAAUAUUACUGUCUUGCAUUUUGUAUGAGCCUGCAUACUCUAUGAUUUCACAUACAUAUCACAUACAUUUUACACAGCAAAGUCCUGCAAAGUCUGAUCUCGCUCAAAGCAGCCAAUUUCAGUCAUUGCCUCAUUGCACUCCUUACAAUAUGUGUUGCUUUGGUGCCUAUUUUUCAAUUGUCUGUUGCUGCACUUUCUCACAUAUAUUGUUAGUGUGUACUGUAGAGAGACAAGUCACCCAUUUGCCAUCGUGCCAUGCCACUGCCACCAAGUUUUCUGCCUGCAUGAAAACCGUAUUGUCACCUCUUUUCAUCUUCUGAAACUUUAUGAACUUUAUGUAUGGCAUUAUAGCCUGGCUCACCCCAUGGGAUUUGGUUCUGUUUAUUACAGAAGUGAAUAAAACUUUGCAGCAGCACGUACCUAUCACCACGCUGCAUAACCUGUCCAAAGCCACCAGGGGACAAAACAUGCUCCCUGAAGUUAUAUCACCAGUUCUGUCCCAUCUCUAUUUGUAAUGCCACAGUGCGCUUCAUCUCGUCUUUUGUUGUGGGUUUCCACUUUGAAAAACGAGAAUGCGAUGCAAACGCAGCCCACGAUUCAAAAAAAUUCUCUGCCUACUUGUUUGUCUCGUCUGACAGUAGCUGAAAAGCAGCAUCAGGAGAGAGCAGCCUGAAGUACAGCAGCUGGUGAUCUGUCGUGUCCAACAGCAAGCCAUGCCGUCUUGUAAACUCCGGUAGCCAGAUCAGCUCUCAACGGAUCAAUGUCUGUGUAUUUAUCCCAUGCGAACCUUGCCGUAGAUGCAUCGGCUGCGCGAAGGCACUCAACUGGCAGCAGAUCCGCUGGCGCGGCAUCGGCUGGUGUCUGAUCAGCUGAUGCCGGCUUUUCACUCUCUUGCUUGAUCUCCUGAUCACUGCCAAUAAAAUCCAAUUCUGACAAAUCAAGAGUCUGACUCCGCGAUAAUGCGCAAAACAUCGUCUGCCGAGUGUUUUCUUUUCUGCACUCGCUUCGCUCCCUUGUCACAUGUCGAUGCCAUCUUGCCAUUGUUUACAUUUCGCAACUCACGCACACGCAAGGAUUAUUUGCCGAGUCUAACAUUCCUCCAAGCACAGAGGGAAUGCCUGUGACGUGACAGUGAGAUUUGUCGCCAUUAACAGCUGAUUGUCGCCCUCUAUCCCAGGAUGUUGACUUUUGUCGACAUUCGCCUUCAACCCCUCCUGUCGACAGAAGUCGACAUCCGCCCUAAAAGAGUUAAUUAUGCUAUGUAUUCCUGGUACCUGCACAACUUCUGGAGCUGCUGCUUUAGCCUCAUACUUGCAGCACUGUGCAUCUAAGGUGUGUUUUAACAUGCUUUCAAGAAUGAAUGUGAUUUCUGUCUGAACUAGAAUUUUACGUGUACUUAGAUUUCAGUUUUGUUUUUGAUUUGUUUAGUAAGGUAUCCUGCAUAGGAACAGGCGCAGUGAUAACUGCUCAUUCACUUCCAGAUUAAUGUAAGAGUUGCCAUUUUUGUUUUACCCAAAUACCAACAGAAAUGUCAUUGUCAAUGGCAGUGAAUUUUUUGUGGCCCAGUAUUGUUUACCGGUGGAUUUAUUUAUGAUGAGAGUUUAAAAAGGUCUAUUCAUAUGGACUUUUGACUUUGUUCCCUAUGGGAUGUUUUCAGUCUCCUCUGGAAUCUUAUUCUGCUGUUCACAAAAUCUGUCUGAAAUUUUCAGAGUUAAAGGCCAUCAUGGAGACAACAAAUGAAUGUGGUGCUUGCUCGUGAGUGAAUCUCUCUCUAGCCACACACACCCCCCACCCCCCAAUGAGUAUGAACAAGUGCUCUGCCCCAUUUUUAUCUGGAUCAUUGGGGCAGAAAGCUUCAUGAAACUGGAAGAUUCUUGGCGACCACACAACAAUUUAAAGCUGUCCUGAAGUGUUUUACCCAGUUUUGGGCGUAUAUACAAAAAUGUUUGGGUGAUGUUUUUCAAAAUCUCAGAUGUUGCCCCAAGUGCAAGUUGAGCAACUGGUUGUCUUCUUCCUGACAGCACUCUUGCUCAUUGAGCCACCAAGACAAUUCUCUUCAUUGGUGCCUAUGGGGUCAACCUUUUAGAUGUCUGACUGAGCCCCUUAUGAUUUGUGGCUGUUCCCCAAAAUCAAGGCUAUUGUGUGGAAAAUGCUUCCAAGGACUGAGAGGACAUGACCAAGACAAAUGAAACUCUCAUCAUGUUAUGUAUUUGACAUUUGUAGGUUUGUGUAUAGUACUUGUGGAUGCUGCACUAGACUGGGCAGUGGAAGCCUGUCCUCUUAUUCUUGGUUUUCUAAUGGACCAAUUCUGUUGACUGCAACAGUAUUAGAAACUAAGACCACUUUUUGAUGAGCCAAUUUCUCUUGUGCUUAUGUUGAUUGCAUCCCCAGGUUUAUUCCGCUUAGUCAUCCUGUCUUGGUAAUGCUUUUUAAAAACUGAGAAUGUGUUUAGUUUUUGUGUUUAGACUUUUUCAAAGUAUACCCUGGCAUGAUUUCUAGUAACCCUAUCCAUUGACCUCCCAGGAAUUUGGGGAAAAUGUUCUGGGCUAUGUUAAGCCAGAAAAAUCGUAAUUUUCACUUUUUUUAGUAUUUCUCUGCAAAAGUAGCAGUUUUAUUUCUUCCUCUUCUGCAGGGUUAUAUUUCAAAUGUGUUAGUACACUAUACGUCAUUAGUAAGGCUGUCUGGAAACAAAGCUGGUGUUUUAUGAGUUGCUUAGGUUCAUUAUAGUUAAGCUUCAUUGGCUCAUUGCCGUGAUCUUAAGACCAGUUUCAGUAAAAUGUCAAGUUGUCUUCUAGUUUGGUUGAUUUGUUAAGGACUUCCUGGGCUAACUGCAGUGAGGACGUAGUCCUCAUUCAACCACAUUGUGUGUUUGUACACUUGAAGGCAUAGUAUUACCUUCACUUCCACUGCAUUUUGUUUACAGCUGUACUGUAAAAUGUGCCUGUCAAAGGGUUAAUUGUCAAUCUUUAUACGUGGUCUUUAAGAGUAGCUUCUAGGUUCUAAGUGGCUUAUAUAUAUAUAUUUUAAACAACACAAGUAUUUCAUUCAAGUGACUGAUUGAACUCUGAUUAAAACAUUCAUGAAAUUACCUGUUGCUGCAUUUGCCUCUAAAGUUUACUUGGGUAUUUAGCAUUAAGGCUGUGCACAACUGAAUAAUGCCCUGGUCUCCUUUGACUUUUUUUUAAAUUGUAAAGAUUAAAAAUCUGCAUCCAGCCAGGUUUGGGUUUUUACUGGGCCUCCUGCUUCUCUGAAAUCUAAUAUAUUACUUGGCCAGAGAGCAGCAUAGCAACCCUUUGUUGAACAGUUCUGUUUUAGACUUGUUGAAUAUUCUACCUCAGGAUAGAUAUUCAACCGUUAAGUCUAAUUACAAGACAAAACCAUUUUCACAAUCCAUAGUGCUGAUGUUUAUUUUGAACAGAACUGGCUCUAAUGAAGGUGCCGGAGGUUACAUGAAGUUAUGCAAACACAUUUGACUUUAAUUCUGACAUGCUUGAGUUAAAUAUCACACUCUUGACAUUUAGGCUCAAUACCAGACUUUGUCUUUGCACCAGACCAUUUUAGUAUUUCUUGCUUGGAUUUUCUUCAGCUUUUCUGCAAAGUGCUAAUGUAUCAAAAUAUCUAAUAUGUAGGGAAGAUCAGGUUUGGCAUUAUUUCCCCCAAAAGGUCUGUUUUUGAAAUGUCAACCAUGUCACAUUUUAGCAGUCCUCACUCUUCCAUGCAGGGGGGGGGGGGGGGGGGGGGGGUUUGGAACAGGUUUUCAUUAUUGGAUUUCAAGGUAUACAAUGCUAUAGAGCAGGGGCUAUUUGUUUGUUACAGAUGUGCCUAAAUUGGUUGCUCUCCAUGUAAAUUGCAAUGCUACUUCUGAAAAUUUUUGAACUACUGAAAACAGUAUUGAGAAAAUUAUGCCAGCACUUGGUCUCCAUGGAUUAAUAUAGACAAGAAGGAAUAAGGUGUGUAAUAAGGUAUGUCGUAAUUUUUUUUUUAAUUUCUUUGAGGAAAGCGAGUGUUUAGCUUACUUGUUCAAGCAGCGGAUAUUAAAAUGGUUUGGUAUACAGUAAUCCCUCCUCCAUCGCGGGGGUUGCGUUCCAGAGCCACCCGUGAAAUAAGAAAAUCCGCGAAGUAGAAACCAUAUAUUUAUAUGGUUAUUUUUAUAUUGUCAUGCUUGGGUCACAGAUAUGCGCAGAAACACGGGAGGUUGUAGGGAGACAGGAACGUUAUUCAAACACUGCAAACAAACAUUUGUCUCAUUUUCAAAAGUUUAAACUGUGCUCCAUGACAAGACAGAGAUGACAGUUCCGUCUCACAAUUAAAAGAAUGCAAACAUAUUUUCCUCUUCAAAGGAGUGCGCGUCAGGAGCAGAGUCUGUCAGAAAGACAGAGGAAAGCAAACAAAUCAAUAGGGCUGUUUGCUUUUAAGUAUGCAAAGCACCGCAGCACAAAGCUGUUGAAGGUGGCAGCUCUCACCCCCUCCGUCAGGAGCAGGGAGAGAGAGAGAGAGACAGAGACAGACAGAGUUUGUUUUUCAGUCAAAAAUCAAUACGUGCCCUUCGAGCUUUUAAGUAUGCGAAGCACCGUGCAGCAUGUCCUUUUGAGGAAGCAGCUGCACAAAAGAUAGCAACGUGAAGAUAAUCUUCCAGUAUUUUUAGACGAGCGUCCUUCUCGUCUAGGUGUGCGAACAGCCCCCCUGCUCAAUCCCCCUACGUCAGGAUCAGAGAAAGUCAGCGCAAGAGAGACAGAAAAGUAAGCCGGGUAGCUUCUCAGCCAUCUGCCAAUAGCGUCCCUUGUAUGAAAUCAACUGGGCAAACCAACUGAGGAAGCAUAUACCAGAAAUUAAAAGACCCAUUGUCCGCAAAAACCCGCGAUAUAUAUUUAAAUAUGCUUACAUAUAAAAUCCGCGAUGGAGUGAAGCUGCGAAGCGCGAUAUAGCGAGGGAUUACUGUAUGCUCACUUGCCCUGGUAGGCUUGUAAGUGUAGCCCAUAUGUCAAACAUUGAUCUUUUCCAUUAAUGAGUCAUUUGGCUGCCAUCUAGUGUGAAAGACAUCAUUGUAAACAAUAUGGAAAGGCGCCAAUCCUGUUCUGCUCUCUGUAGUAGAGUAACACUUCUGUAUUCACACUCUGGGUUGGUUUAACUGAUUUUUGCCAGAAUGUAAAAUCCACAUCUGUUUUGUUAUGGAUUGCCAGAUGCUCACUGUGUUAAGGCAUUUGGCAUCUUUUUUUUUUAUUUUUGGGUAACCUUUUUUCUCCAUGUAAUUUACACUGUUAUGCCCUACUGAGAAAUACUUUUAAUGGAAACAGAAGGUGCCGAGAGCCUUCUCAGUGUCACUUGUUUUUGAAGCUGUUGAGUACCUGUGCAGAGUUCAGAUUGUGGAAGGUAAGUUUCAAUAAAUUACAAGUAUAUGUUGACUGACUGGUAGUUUGCUUUGUUAUAGAAGGUGGCAGAGGGACUGCUUAUCUUACUGAAUUGUGGCAGCUUGCAAGUAAUAAAAUUGUAAAAGAAAUCAGCCAUAAUUAUACAGCCAUAAAUGUCGAAAAUUUAGACAAGCCAACUGAAUACAGAUUAUGGUUAGAGAUUAGAAUUUACAUCUGAUAACCUUUGACACUCCUGGAAAUGCUUUCAAAGUUCUGAAAGUUGAAUCUUGGGCUAGGAUGGUAAUUCUUGAAACUUGUCUUAAAAGGCAGACAAUACAUUUCUGUAAUAGCGCUAUAUUGACAAACUAUUUAAUAAUAUGCUGCUUUAACCACAGUCUUGAUAAAUUUAAAAACUAUCAAUUGUAAGUUUCAUUUUGUAAUUUAGCUUUUCUUGCAACAAAUACCAAUGUUGUGAUUGUCUUUGGAGAUGUAACAGAUUUUACAAUAGAGCCAUUUAAGAAAUAGGUAUUUUCCAUUUGAACAAGUGAAAGUGCUUGGGAAGCACAAGAGUAAAGAUGGCUAAAGAUUGUGUUUGAAUGAGAUAUAAAUGACCAUAUGUAAAAGAAUGGAGCAUGGCCUACAUCUAGGACCAGAAGCAUAGUAGGUUGUCCAUUAAAUUUUAUUUUUUCUUUAAACCAAUUUAAUUGCAGCCUGUCUUUGUAGGAUGAAGCCGAAGGCGUGACAUAAUCCUGCAGUGCUAAUUCUUUGUAGGGCACCAUUGCAUGCACAUGUGUACUUGGGCUAGUGUAGUGUAUAAUGUUAAUUGUACUCCACUUUUUUGAGUGGGAGUAAGAGAAAGAGAGAGAGGUUAGCAGCACGCGCUGAUACAGUGCAUUGCCGCACCCAUCACACGACAAACCUCUCUGUUACUCCCACUCAGACAUGUAUAAUGUUCAUUGUACUCUACACUAGCCCCAGUACACCUGAAGGUUGCUGGUUCGUAUCCUGUAAAUGCCAAAAGGGACUCUGUUGGGCCCUUGAACAAGGCCCUUAACCUGCAAUUGCUCUGUCCUGGGUAUGACGUUAAUCUGCAUCCUCUCCUGCAUGUAGGCCCUCCAACCUACAGGGAAAAACUUGGGGGUUGGUGGCAGAAUUGGCACUCCAGCCACCAUAAAAACCUCACACUGUUCCACUCCAUCUGAACUGCAAUUAAAUACUUAUCACAGAGUAAUAUGCAUUUGGUACCUUUUCUAGGGUGUUUCGAUAGAAGUAGCAGAUGCUUAUUCUAGCACUUCAGUAGGAUGGUUGUGUUGUAGUGGUUUUAGAAAAUAAAAUGGCUAAAGUCACCAGGACCCAGUUCCAAAAGGAUUCUAACAGGGUUGAAGCUCCGGAGAAUUAUUGAUGUGCAUUGGUACUGUCCCUUUUGUUGUAAAGGAAGGAAAUAUAUUAAAGUAGGUUUUUAUUCGCCUCAAAUUAUACAUACAUUACAAUAUGUAGUGAAAUCCAUAGUUGCAAUGCUUCAGAACUCAGCAUUUAAUAGGAAUAUAAAAUCUAUACAUAAAUAUCAAAAAAUAAUUAUGGUGAAAGUUCAGUAGAAUGCAUUAUCAUAGAAUUAUAAAACGUGAUAAGUAACUAAACUAGGUACAAGCCUUAGAUGUUAUUGUGUAGCAUAACAUUUGCUCAAAUCCUCUUCUGUCUUGGCUGCCAUUUCUUACUGAUUUCAACAAAUUAAGUUAUCUAGGAAUUUUGUUGUGAAUUCCCAAUGUAACUGAUACAGCUGGAUAUUUUAAACUGCUAAUAGAUGAGGCUUUACAGCUACUUGGUUUAGCUCACACUAGCUGGUAUGCAGUGGUUCUUAUCCUUGGUCCCAAUGCAUAUCCCCAACUGUAUUUUUAUUCUCAAUUCCUGCCAUUGGCUGGAUUGCUGAGCCUUGCUUGGGUUAAUUACUGUCUUUCUUUCUUUUUUUUUUUUUUUUCUUUUUUUUUUAACGGUCAAGUUGAAGUUUUUCUCCACUUUCAUGUUUCAAAGGAAUGGUAGCAAAUGUCACAAGAGCAGAUGAGUUUCCACCAGCUUACUUGUAAAGGCUAUGUUGAAUACUGGCUAUUAUCAAAACAGCUGCCUGGUGAGUACAUGGGCACGAAUGGAACUGAAUAAGCAUCUCCUUUUUCAGAUAAAUUGUAAUUUGCAUUGAGGCCUGCUGUUUAAUCUUCAAUUUGAAGGGAAGAUGGAUGCAAUUAAGGGAGCAGACUUAAUGAAUAUGUGGAAUGAAAAGUUCUUAAGGCAAGACUUCCUCGUUGAAUGUUGUAGCGACUUAAUUUUCUUCCAGUCUUACUAUAAUGGCUUUUGCCUGUACAAUAUGUUAGCGGUACUGUUAAAUUUGUGUGUAUUUCCAGGGAAUUUCACAAGACUUUCCAGUCAGCAUUUUUUGGAGAAACGUGGUCAUUGCUUUCCUGCUUAGUCCACAAAAAAGCAAUUGAGGAUUACCUUCAUUAUUUUUUUUUUGAUCAAUAUAAAAGGCAAAUUAAAUUCAUUAAACAUGUAUUUCAUCUUCUCAAAUACAAAGCAACCACAUAUGCUUUUUAUAAAUAACUUCAAUAUUAAAAACUGUUUAAUCAGGUGAAAAGAUGUCAUCUUGGCCAUUUCAACAAGCAUUUUCUUUUCCUUAUUGCCCCACUGGGGACUACCACUUUGAGGGAGCCACUAGGAAACUUGUUUCCGAAGUAUCUGCAAUAUGCAAUUGAAUUGAUUGUCUUCUGUCAUAUGUAAAAACUAUGGGUUUUUUUUAAUGGUAUGGUUAUAAUAUACAGGGUGAGCCAAAAUGAAGUACCACAUUUCUCAAGGUCAUUGCCUGAGGUAGAGGCAGUCGAGUGGGUUGGGGGUCCUUUGCUAGGCAAUCCCUUCUAGUUUUCAGUUGGCAACAUGCCUUGGUCCAGUGCACACCGUGCUUACGCUUUUGGAAAACAAAUCCAUCACUGCAGCGCACCUUCUGAACGCAUUUCAGCAUUUCUCCGAACGGUGAUGUUCCAAAUUGGGGAAAACAAUUCUUCAGUUGGUGGCUAAGCUUAGACAGACUGGUGCAACAUUGAACAGAAAAUCUCUAGGCCAUACUCGGACAGUGCGAACACCUGAAAACAUCCAAGCUGUAAGGGCAUCAAUUUUGCAGUCUCCUAGACGUUCAGCGCGCAAACAUGCUUCUGCCUUAGGCAUUUUCCAACACAUCUUUGAGGAGGAUUUUGCAUGAGGACCUUUAAUUUCUAUCCAUACAAAAUGAUGGUAGUGCAGGAACUCGCUGGGAGAGCCAUAGAGAGUUGAGUGAACAUUCUGCAAAAUGUUCAAGAUGCCAUUGUUAUGUGCAGCGACAAGACAUUUGCAUGGCUGCGUAAAUAUGCAUAACUUUCGCCAUUGGGCUGAAACUAACCCUCGUGAACUUCAUCAGAGACCCUUGGACAGUUGAGUGUUUUACAGUUUGGUUUGCGGAAUUUGGCAUUGUUGGCCCUUGCUUUUUUGAGGUGGGAGGCGCAACGGUCACCGUUACUUCAGAACGUUACAUUGAAAUGCUAGAGAACUUAUUUUGGCCCCAACUGGUGGAAAUGGAUGUGGUGGAUCCCUGGUUUCAACAGGAUGGAGCACCAGUUAAUACAGCGCGGAGAUGCAUGCAUGUUUUGCAGGAGAUGUUUCUGGGGAAGCUGAUCUCCUUGUGCGGCAAAGUUGGGUGGCCUUCACGUUCGCGUGAUAUCUCUCUGCAAUUUCUUGUGGGGAUGUUCAAGUGAAAGGUGUAGACAUACCGAUCUGAAAACCUUGAAGCCCUCAAGGAUGCUAUUCGCCACAAAAUCACCAGUAUUCCUCUUGAGAUGCCAGAAUGAGUCAUGCAAGUGUUUAGAGUGUAUUGCUAAUUAUGGCCACCACAUAGAGGCCAUCGUUUAUAAGAUACGAUGAAAAAAUCUCUUUUGUAUACCCUUUCUUGUGUCAUAAUGAAAUUUAUUUUAUCUUGUAGCUUUUUUGUAGAAUAAACGUUUGAAAUAUGGUAUUUCUUUCUGGCUCACCUUGUGUUAUAUACAGUGCUUUGCUAAACUCACUUUUCUGAAAAUGUAAAAUGAUACAUACAUCUGUGAUUGCAGGUAAAAUAAGAGUAUUUAAUGCUACUACCUAUAAAUAGCAUUAAAACCAACACACCGUUCCUACUCCAUGUAAAACUGUAACGCUCUUAAUAAUUGGUCAUUUUAAAACAAAGCCUUGAAAUUAUUGUCUUGUUCCCGAUAUCCACAACUUUCCAAAAAGUAAUUGCCUGCUUCCUUGCUUUCCCACCAAGUUGAGGUGAAAUAUUUUGGUAAAGGCACCGAAUGAAUAAUUAGAUAUUUGUCUUCAAGGAGAAACUUUGCAUUUUACCUAAGCUCAUUAAAUAAAGUAUACUCCCACAUUGAUCAGAGCACAUACCAGAAUUAAAAAGAAAAAACUGACUUGGCAAUCCAGUGAGGCAUUAUACAGGACUAUUGUCGUUGGCAUAAAGGAGCCCCAGUAGUGUUUCUUAGCACACUUCUACUGAAUAAUUGGAUGGCUGGAAGUCCUCAGUGUGUCUGAAAGAGAUUGUGCAGCAAUGUUCAUAAUGGCACUCAGAUUUUUAUUUUUUUUUUAAACUACCUCAAGGUGGGUCCACAGUACAUCACAUAACAGAGCCUAGCUUGUUUAAUUGUGCCUCUCCAAGUAAUGUGACCCCAGCAUGCUGCAGUAUAGAAAAUUACACUGGUCAUCACAGCUUUAUAGAACAUGUAAAGGAUGUCACCACUCACAUUAAAGGAGUGCAAUCACCCAAGUAAAGAGUCUCACCUACCCUUUCCUAUAUACUUCCUGUGUUAUGAGACCAGUCCAACCGGCGAUUGAUGUGGACACCCAAGUACUUGUGCGAGUGUACUAUAUCUACAUCCACUUUCAGGGAUUGAGUGUAGAGGCACUUUUGGGGAAAAUCAAUAACCAGUUCCAUGGUUUUGUUGAUGGGUUGCAAGCUGUUCUUUCAGCACCUGAAAAAACCUAAAGUUCUCAGUCCAACUCCUAUACUGUGUCUCAUCCCCUUAUCAAUCAGUGCAGAGUCAGAUGAGACUUUAUGCAUGUGACAUGACCAAGUGUUAUAUGAAUAGUCAUGAGUGAAGAGGAAGGAGAUGGGAAUGUUCCUUGUGGUGCACUGGUGUUGCUGACAUUCAUUUAACAGAAACAGUCCUUAAGUCUCUCAAACGGCAGUCUGCUCCACAGGUAAUACAUCUUCCAGGACACCAUAGGCUCAUCUUCCUACAUAUCCCUGUGUUUAACUCUUAACAGUAAUGGCUAGGUUAUAUUUUAAGCAAUGGAUAAAUUGAAAAACAUAAUCAGUGAUUACCUUUUUAAAGGAGGCUGUUGCUUUUAUGAAAAGGAAAUCCUGUAUUAAAUGGGUGGUUUGUACAUGCUAAUAUGUAGUUUUCCCUUAAAGCCAAAAAAGGUGGAAUCACAAAGGAAAAACUAGGCAGAAAGUUAUAACCCAUCAAGCAGCAAAGCACAAUGCCACGAACCAAGCACUUUUUAUCUUAUGUGUACCUGUGCGGUUUCUUUCACUGACUUAACAUCAUUCCUAAACAUGUUAAGUAUAAAAUGCAUGUAGUAUGCUCUACAUUUUUUUCCCAGAUUUUUGUUGCUUGAUGAAUGAAGGAACGCAUUAUUGCUGCUGUGUCAAACCAUUGGUUUGAUAUGCUAAGAAGGGCUGAAGAUGAGUUAGACUACAGAAUUGAUGUGUGCUGUGUGAUACAAAGGUCACAUACUAUUUAUAAGAUUAAAAAGAAAAAAGUUCCUUUAAAAUUGGCUUAGAUUAAAUGUUUUUAUGAAACUUCCAUGAAAUUUUUUAAAUCUCCUUCGAUUCCAUUGCAAUGUUAUUGCACCUGUGUCAUUUCCAUAGAUAUGGUAGCUACACCUCUGCAAACCUUGUGAUGCCAUAGCUGAGCAGUUAAGUAAUGCAGCAUAGUUUGCAAGAUGUUAACUAGUGCUGUAUUCUCUAGAUCAAUCUGGAAUUGGGUGUUAGUCCAUCAAAAGGCGGCACACUCAUGCACAAGUCCCACACUCCCUCAUGUAUGCUCAAUUCAAUGUAUUUUUGUGUAGCAUUUAUUCGUUGUGUGCAGGUUCAGAGUGCACUGUGUGCUACCAGUCUAAGUCACACAUCCUUGCAGUUCAGUAAGAAAACCAGAGAACAAGCAAAUUCCACACAGUGACCAAGCUACAUUUCAAAUUCAGGGCUCUGAACGAGUGAAGUGGCAACACAAACUUUGGUAACAUCAAAGUGUCAGUAUUCAUUAGUGUGUCUGCCCUUGGCAGAUCGGAACAGAGUUGCAGAGAUUGAACAUCACAAAAUGAUAUAACAGAUGAAUUAUGUAGUGUUGGAUGUGAUGACACUAACUUGUAUUCUGUAUAAGACAACAAUCAGUAGUUGGAUGUGUUGAACCCCCUAAAUGAGCAGGCUGAAAGUUUUAAUGUGAUGCUAAGUGAUUACAACAGGACUGACAAUAGUUAAUAUUGAAAAUUGUAUUGAAAUGUAGUAAUCUUUAAAAAAAAAAAAAAAAACAUUUGUCAGUUGGUGACCUUUGUCUUGCAUGCUGCUUUAUGCAGGGGUACUUUUUUUUUUUUUUUCUCUCAGGGUCUUUUUAGAACCCCUUUUCAAACCAUUUAAUGUGUGUGUCACUUUCAGACUGGGAUUAUUUAUCACAGUCGUGUGGACUGGAAUAAUAGAAUGUAUUUGCCUGCAUGAUCCACUUCUUUCUUUCUUAAAUUCAAUUAUUUUGCUUGUUUUGGUGUUUUUCAGCCUCCUGUGAUAUCAUUUGAUAUUGAGAGCUGAGCAUCCAGCCCAGUCCCUUUAUUUGGAGAUAGUUUACCAUUUUUGACGUUUUCUUAGCAAAAUCUUUGGAUUAACCUGCUGUUCUUCUGGUUCGGGAGACAAUUUUGAAGCCAUAUCAGAUAAUGGAAGCAAUAGAGUGCAACAAAGACUUGCACCAUUAUCGGCCGUUUACUUUUGCCUGUGAGCAGGGGAAUUUCUUUUAUAUUGUGCUAUUAUGUGAUUUCUUGGUAUGCUCCAAGUUGAAGCAUGUCAUACAUAUAGAGUGUAGUGGUUACUAAUCCACUCUUUUGUUUGUUUUCUUCAUUCCUGCUUAUACCUCCACUCUAUUGGUUCUCCACUUUUUGUAACCUGCUCUGCUAUCCUCAAAAAAAAAAAAAAAUAAGACACGUAAGAGUAAGGAGGCAGGGUAAUGUGCAUUUUUAAUUAGAUUAAGAACACUGCACGAGUCCUACAUCAGUUCUUGAAGCCAUUUAGUCCCAGAGUUUGAGGUGGGACUCCAGUUGGCUAAGUGUCUGUCUGCUUGGUCUCUAAUCGAACAGAUGGCACAUAACAAACAUUAGCACUGCGUUUAUGAAUCCUGUACUUAAUGGCAUGUAACAAACAUACCAACUGCUUGGACACACUUCAGUGAGUACAUCCAACAGAGAGCAACUCCUGGAUAGACAGAAAUCAGCUUAUCUACCUUGCUAAAAAGAAAACUGUCCGUCUGAGUGCUGUGUGUGUCAUUUCAUCAGAUGGCACAUCACAAACAUUCAUAGCAGUGCAUUUUAUUAAUACACAUUUGUGAUCCUCCUUCUAUUGGAAUACCAAAUGCAAAGCAUUUUAUUACUACAUGCAUUACAAAAUACAUUAUGAUAGAUGGUGCAUUGCAAACAGGCUAAAUUUACUACUUAAGUUUUAGCCUGUCUUAGAUGUGUAAUAGAACUAGUCAUCCAUAAAGGAAUAUUCCACCCAAAGAUUUUUUUUUUUUUUGUGUGUUACUUUCUCCCACUUACUUUGUAGUGCUGGUCAGGAAAAAUUUUUAAUCUCGUGGAAUGGAAAGAAAAGUUUGGAGGCAAUAGUGACCAUUGUUUUACAAUGGUAACCAUGAAAAAUGUCCAUGGGGGCAGGAACUCUCGAAAUACACAUUUACAGCAUAAUGACAUAACAGAAGUUUAACAUGCAUGCUAAAAAUACUGUUACAUACACCCCCAUUCCAAAAAAGGUUGUGAUGCUGUGUAAAAUGUAAAUAGAAUGCAAUGUUUUUCAAAUAUCAUAAACCCAUACUUCACAGUAGAACACAGGAAACCUAUCCUAUGUUGAAAGUGAGAAAAUGUACCACUUUAAGAACAGAGUAAGGUCAUUUUGAAUUUGAUGGCAGCAACAUGUUUCAAAGUUGGGAACGGGCCAUGUUUACCACUGUGUAGCGUUCCCUCUUUUUUUUAAUAAGUCCAUUAACAUCUGGGAACUGUGGAGACCAGUUGUUGGACUUUCGGGAGAGUAAUGUUGUCUCAAUUCUUUUCCGAUACAGGUUUUUAGCUGCUGGACAGUUCUGGGCCUCCUGUGUCAUAUUUUUCAUUUCAUGAUAUGCCAAAUUUUUUCAACUGGUGAAAAUUCUGGAAUGCAGGCACGCCGAUUCAGAACCCGUACUCUUCUACUAUGAAGCCGUGCUGCUGUUAUAGAUGCAGUAUGCAGUUUAGCAUUGUCUUGCUUAAAAAUGCAAGGCCUUCCCUGAAAAAGAUGUCUGGAUGGGAGCAUGUUUUGUUCUAAAAGCUGUAGAUCUUUCAGCAUUGAUGGUGCCUUUCCAGAUGUGCAGGCUGCCAAUUCCAUAGGCACUAAUGCACCACCACACCAUCAGAGAUGCAGGCUUUUGAACUUUGCACUGAUAACAAGCUUGAUUGUCCCUCUCCCCUUUAGUCCAGAGAACACACUCCAUGUUUUCCUAAAAUAAUUUCAAAUAUCGAUUUGUCUGACCACAGAGCAGUUUUCCACUUUGCCUCAGUCUAUUUUAAAUAAGCUUUGGCCCAGAGAAGACAAUGGCUUUUCUGGGUCAUGUUCACAUAUGGCUUCUUUGCAUGACAGAGCUUAAACCUGUAAUUGUGGAUGGCAUUCCAAACUGUGUUCGCAGACAAUUUCUAGAAGUGUUCCAGAGUCCAUGCAGUGAUUUCCAUGACAGAAUCAGACCUGUUUUUAAUGCAGUGCCACCUGAGAGCCCAAAGAUCACUGGAAUCCAGUAUUGAUUUUUCAGCCUUGUCCCUUGUGCACAGAGAUUUCUCCAGAUUCGCUGAAUCUUUUGGUGAUGUUAUGUACUGUAGUUGAUGAGAUAUUUAAAGUCUUUGCAAUUUUAUGCUGAGGAAUAUUGUUCUGAAAUUGGUCCACAAUUUGUAGACCCAUCUUUACUUCUGAGACUGUCUCUAAGAUGCUGUCUUUAUACCCAAAAAUGUUUCUGACCUUUUACCAGUUAACCUAAUUAGUUGCAAAAUGUUCCUCCAGCGGUUUCUUUUUAGUACCACUUACUUUUGUUGCCACCAUCCCAACUUUUUUUGAGAUGUGUUGCUGCCAUCACUUUUCAAAAUGAGCUAAUAUUUUCACUUUCAACAUUUGAUAUGUUUUCUAUGUUCUGUUGUGAAUAAAAUACAGGUUUAUGAGAUAUUCAAAUCAUUACAUUUUGUUUAUUUACACUUUACACAGCUUCCCAACAUUUUUGGAAUUGAUGUUGUACUUGCUUCCUCAGCAGUUAUCGACACACACAUAAACAAGAAAUCUAAAGCUUCAUUGGAUUGCCUUUUUGAAUUAAAGAACUACCUCUCCUUCCCCUUUAUUGGUCUUCAAUUCAGAAGACUUUUUCUCCACACUGUAUGAAAACAUGAGAUUAAAAAAAUUUCUCUGUCACCACUGCAAAGUGCAUGGGGUAAGUAACAUAAUAAUGAAAAAAAUGAUUCUUUUGAGUAUUCCUAAAAGGGAGGACCCAACCCUGCAUGGAAUGCUAUUGUAGUGCAACAUGGCAAAUGUGUGACCUUAAUUGGUGGAUCUUUGGUGUUAUUACCAAGAUGGGUGCCUUUGUACUCCUCCAUGAUAUAAAUCCUUAUUAGCCGGUAACAUUUUCUGUUACUUUAUUUAGUCACACCAUUGGUAUUGCUCAUUGUGAAUAUUGAAGAGCAGAGUAUGAUGGCCUGAAUGUUGGGUGGUGACAUUCACGGUGGCUCAUUUUGUUUACAGACUGCUGUUAGAUGAGAUGAUGAUUUAAUCAGUCGUUCUGUUUAUUAAUCCAUGUAAUUCAAUAAAUGUGAGUAUUCAUCUGAAGAAGUAGUACAUUGUUGUGCUAGUAAAAUGUAAUUUGAUAACUUCCUCGCCUUUAUUUAACUUCAUAAGUUUAUGCUGUUUACCAUUAGAAUUAAAUAAUUAUUUGUCAAUGUUGACCAGGGUGUUAGGAGUGGCAUGCUGGCCAAUGGAAUGGUGCAACUUCUCAUUAUUUCCAGAAUGAGGGGGUUUAAUAACAAUCUGAGUUGAGUUUUCCCAUUCUCACCCUUUCUGUGUAGGUUUUCCUCAGGGGUAUUUUUCUUCAGCAAGAAGUUGAUUGGCAUGUCUAAAUUAGUGGGUUUGUGUUUGUAUGUUUGUGAGUGCUCCUUGUGGUUGACCUCUUGAGUACACUGCUACCAUGACAGACAUCACCUUCUUGAAUUGGGUAAGCAA